UACGUAGGGAGCAAGCGUUGUCCGGAAUCAUUGGGCGUAAAGCGCGCGUAGGUGGCUUCAUAAGUCCGCUGUGAAAGUCAAAGGCUCAACCUUUGAAAGCCGGUGGAUACUGUGGAGCUAGAGUACGGAAGAGGCGAGUGGAAUUCCUGGUGUAGCGGUGGAAUGCGCAGAUAUCAGGAGGAACACCAAUAGCGAAGGCAGCUCGCUGGGACGUUACUGACACUGAGGCGCGAAAGCGUGGGGAGCGAACAGG
rnacentral:rRNA from 1 species